AUUGAACGCUGGCGGCAUGCCUUACACAUGCGAGUCGAACGGUAACGCGGGGCAACCUGGCGACGAGUGGCGAACGGGUGAGUAAUGUAUCGGAACGUGCCCAGUUGUGGGGGAUAACUGCUCGAAAGAGCAGCUAAUACCGCAUACGACCUGGGGGUGAAAGCGGGGGAUCGCAAGACCUCGCGCAAUUGGAGCGGCCGAUAUCAGAUUAGGUAGUUGGUGGGGUAAAGGCUCACCAAGCCAACGAUCUGUAGCUGGUCUGAGAGGACGACCAGCCACACUGGGACUGAGACACGGCCCAGACUCCUACGGGAGGCAGCAGUGGGGAAUUUUGGACAAUGGACGCAGGUCUGAUCCAGCCAUGCCGCGUGCGGGAAGAAGGCCUUCGGGUUGUAAACCGCUUUUGUCAGGGAAGAAACGCUCUGGGUUAAUACCUCGGGGUAAUGACGGUACCUGAAGAAUAAGCACCGGCUAACUACGUGCCAGCAGCCGCAGUAAAAC
rnacentral:rRNA from 1 species